rnacentral:rRNA from 1 species
CCUACGGGAGGCAGCAGUCGAGAAUCAUUCACAAUGGGGGAAACCCUGAUGGUGCGACGCCGCGUGGGGGAAUGAAGGUCUUCGGAUUGUAAACCCCUGUCAUGUGGGAGCAAAUUAAAAAGAUAGUACCCCAAGAGGAAGAGACGGCUAACUCUGUGCCAGCAGCCGCGGUAAUACAGAGGUCUCAAGCGUUGUUCGGAAGCACUGGGCGUAAAGCGUGCGUAGGCUGUUUCGUAAGUCGUGUGUGAAAGGCGCGGGCUCAACCCGCGGACGGCACAUGAUACUGCGAGACUAGAGUAAUGGAGGGGGAACCGGAAUUCUCGGUGUAGCAGUGAAAUGCGUAGAGAUCGAGAGGAACACUCGUGGCGAAGGCGGGUUCCUGGACAUUAACUGACGCUGAGGCACGAAGGCCAGGGGAGCGAAAGGGAUUAGAUACCCUGGUAGUC